AAAAGAAUCAUUACUAUACAUACCAAAACAAUAUUCACAGAUUCAACCGGUAAUGUUAGGUGUAUUAUGUGUCCACUAAUCUUGGGUCUAAAUAAUGAUUGUAAGUUUUAAAACAAAGCCAUUCAUACUUUACUUAGCCCCGAUAAAUAGAUACUAAUACAACAACUCUACAAAAAAGCAUAAUGUAACACAGCAACGAAAAUUUAGACUGGAGAAACAAUAAAAAGCUGAAAACUUAAUUAUUUGUUCUACAAAAUAUUUUAUUGAAAAAUAUGAUGUCUUCUAAUCAACGUGUUUCCCUACACGAAAUUCUAGCAGCAUCUCAAGUUUGUAAUCUAACAGGUUGCAGAUUGAAGUUGAAUUCUGUUAUUGUUCAAUAUCCGUUCACCAUGUGGUUAUAAUUUCAAGAGGAAUAAUGAUAUUUUGCCUCUUCCUUCUGUUAGAACAAUUAAAAGG